rnacentral:rRNA from 1 species
CCCGGUGAUAUUAUUUAACGGCCGCGGUAUCUUGACCGUGCAAAGGUAGCAUAAUAAUUUGCCUUUUAAUUGGAGGCUGGAAUGAAGGAAUACAUGAAAUUAUAACUGUCUCUUACUUAUUAUUAUAACUUAUUUUUUAGGUGCAGAAACCUAAAUUUUAAUGAAAGACAAAAAGACCCUAUUGAGCUUUAUUUUUAAAAGGGUUUUAAAUAUUAAUUAAUUUUAUAACUUAAUAAAAUUUGGUUGGGGCGACUAAGAAAUAUAUAAAUCUUUCUUUUUUUAUUGGAAAUUUAAUUCUUUUUAAGGAGCUAUAAUUUAAAAAAUAGACAUAGUUACCAUAGGGAUAACAGGCUAAUUCUUUUGGAGAGUUCAAAUUGAUAAAAGAGUUUGGCACCUCGAUGUUGGCUUAAGAUAUCCUAUAGGUGUAGCAGCUUAUAAGGGUUGGUUUGUUCAACCAUUAAAAUCUU